rnacentral:lncRNA from 1 species
CGAAUUGAUUGAGAGACAAAUGUCCCUCAAUUGUUAUUUCUUUAACUACUCUACUAGAGAAGAUGGGUUAGAGAGAGAAAUAUGGAAUAGUGUGAAGCGUGGAUUGUGUCUUAUUCUUCAAAGCAAUGUGACGAGGUUAAUUGUCUUUUUUCUUAUUAUGAUUCGUAUUUGUGAAUUUUGUGAUCUUAUCUUCUUAAACACGAUUUACUGUUGAUGUUGUUGUUACAUUUGUGUACCAUGUUUGUGAUCGUGUCCUAAUCUUCAAAGCAAUGUAUGAGGCUACUUACCUUUUCU